rnacentral:tRNA from 1 species
GGCAAGAUGGCCGAGCGGUCUAAGGCGCUAGGGUCAGGUACCUGAUCAUACAUAUUCACUCGAAUAUUCCUAGUCUCGAAAGGGGCGUGGGUUCGAAUCCCACUCUUGUCA